rnacentral:rRNA from 1 species
GAUGAACGCUAGCGGGAGGCCUAACACAUGCAAGCCGAGCGGUAUUUGUUCUUCGGAACAGAGAGAGCGGCGCACGGGUGCGGAACACGUGUGCAACCUGCCUUUAUCUGGGGGAUAGCCUUUCGAAAGGAAGAUUAAUACCCCAUAAUAUAUUGAGUGGCAUCACUUGAUAUUGAAAACUCCGGUGGAUAGAGAUGGGCACGCGCAAGAUUAGCUAGUUGGUGAGGUAACGGCUCACCAAGUCAAUGAUCUUUAGGGGGCCUGAGAGGGUGAUCCCCCACACUGGUACUGAGACACGGACCAGACUCCUACGGGAGGCAGCAGUGAGGAAGAUUGGACAAUGGGUUAGCGCCUGAUCCAGCCAUCCCGCGUGAAGGACGACGGCCCUAUGGGUUGUAAACUUCUUUUGUAUAGGGAUAAACCUACUCUCGUGAGAGUAGCUGAAGUUACUAUACGAAUAAGCACCGGCUAACUCCGUG